CAGCAGCCGCGGUAAUACGUAGGGGGCGAGCGUUGUCCGGAAUUAUUGGGCGUAAAGCGCGCGCAGGCGGUCCUUUAAGUCUGAUGUGAAAGCCCACGGCUCAACCGUGGAGGGUCAUUGGAAACUGGGGGACUUGAGUGCAGGAGAGGAGAGCGGAAUUCCAUGUGUAGCGGUGAAAUGCGUAGAGAUGUGGAGGAACACCAGUGGCGAAGGCGGCUCUCUGGCCUGUAACUGACGCUGAGGCGCGAAAGCGUGGGGAGCAAACAGGAUUAGAUACCCUGGUAGUCCACGCCGUAAACGAUGAGUGCUAAGUGUUAGAGGGGUCACACCCUUUAGUGCUGCAGCUAACGCGAUAAGCACUCCGCCUGGGGAGUACGGCCGCAAGGCUGAAACUUAAAGGAAUUGGCGGG
rnacentral:rRNA from 1 species